CUCCAUCACCUAAUACGCAUGACCAGUACCAAAAAACCCCUGUCAUCAAUCGAUCUGUGUGUAAAAAGCCCUUCAAUUUCAAAAAUCAUGAGGAAAAACCUCUGAUGAGUCUCGAUUGAACCGUUUAAUAGGUUUACGGGCUGCUAACAGGCCUACGUACCGGCUGGGAACAGGCUGCAAAUAAGCUGCGAACAGGCUUGCGUACCAGCUGCGAACAUGCUGCGAAUAAGUUGCACACCGGCUGCGAAUUGGCUGCAUAUCGGCCUGCAAAUAAGCUGCGUAUCGUACCCGUUAUAUUAUUUAGUUUUUAUAUAUGGAUUCUGCAUGCAUGUUCUUUUAUGUGUGUCAGAAACCAUGUACCUCGUGAGUCGUGGAACCGACCCGAUAUCCGAUAUACUAGAAUUAUAGGAACCGAAAAAUACCCGAAUUACUCUAUUAGGGUCAGUUUCGGGUACUAUUCGGUUCGGUUAUCGGGUUCUAGUCGGGUCGGACCUACUUAUGCUCACCCCUAUUUGCACAUGUGUAAAUCAUCUUCGUUACUAUUACAUUUGUGUAAUCAAGGAAAUCACACAUGUAUAAGUAAGUUGUUAAUACAUAUUGUUUGACUACCUUCUAUUGUUUUAACAGAAGCAUCAAGGAGUGGUGAACAAAAAAAGAAAAAAGAAAAAAGAAACAGAUGUUGAACAGGGUUAUGGAAAAACAGCCAAAGAAACUCCAAUUAGUUGCCACAUGUGAAGGGGUGAUGACUUGGAGAAUGACUUCGCUUAUUCAAGGCAUCUUUCACAUGCUGAUAUUUCGUAUUAUGAUGAACUUCAGUUAGAUGACUAUUAGUCCCACAAGGUGCAUCCAGAUGGAGUAGCCGUUGGUGUUUUUGUGGUGUCUAAAAUAGGUUGUUUUUUUAUAUUUCUAGUUUAGCUCAUGGUAAAGGCCUUGUUAUUAGACAAUAGCUAACGGU